rnacentral:lncRNA from 1 species
AAUACUACUGAACCUGUAAAUACUUUAAAAAGAAUCCAAAACAUAAGAAAUAGUUCAUAAAACACCUAUAUACCAUGGCUAAAAACAAGUAAAACCUAUACUAUAUCAGUUUCACCCCACUUCAAACUCAGUUUGAGCAUCCGGUUCAAUGCUCCAAAGAUUCAUUAAGAAGGCAAUAAACACAAACAAAUAAAGCUCAUCUCGAGAUUGAAAAGGAGUCGAUGCCCACUUGAUCAGUCAACUUCCGAUGUAAAGAAAAUCAGAGCAUUAAAAAGUUAUUAAUUGAACCGGAUACACGUCGGGAAUCACAUUGCCAUUACAAAUCUCCUCCAAGUAGCUAUAAAGGACAAUAAAGAAGAAAAUGGAAAAAAUCCAAGCUUCAUACAUCUAAAUUAUAUUUAUUUUAUAUAUAAAUCUAUUUGUAUUCAAGAAUUCUCUUCUUAUCAUCAUUCUAUCAAGAUUCAUUAUCAAUAAGAAACAAUUUUUAUACCUAAGAGUCAUUCACAAAUAUUCGACUUGUUGAGUACAUGUUUGACAUGUUACCUUAAACCCGAACCCUUAUUUCUGAGUGGAACUUGUUGUCUAUCAUUUGACGCUAUAAAGAAGGGGAAAUUAACCAAAACCAAUCUAAAGAUCCUCCGACGUGAAGCACACAUUGCAGUGACUGUAAUAGACGCAUCAGGUUCAACAUGAACAUGAAAUUUAUCGGGUACCACCCCGCCG